UUGGUUAAUUGUAAUUUAAUUCAACAUUUGAUUUUAAUCACUCUUUCAAGGUUUAUUUAAUUUUUUUUCAUAUUAGUGUUUGUUUUAUAUUAAAUAAUAUGUACAUAAAUUAGCCUGUGUAGUCAGCCAUUGCGGGAUACACUGCCUAGUUAAUUGUAACUUAAUUUAACAUUUGAUUUCAUUGACUCUUUCAGGUUUUUUUUUUAUAUUAGUGUUUGUUUAAUAUUAAAUAAUAUAUACAUAAAUUAGCCUGUGCAGUCAGCCAUUGCGGGAUACACUGGCUGGUUAAUUGUAAAUAAAUAUAACAUUUGAUUUAAUUGGCUCAUUCAGGGUUUCAUGGUAAGCUACAUUGUUUAGUAGGUUCAGUUUAGUAUUAAAGUAAUUAGCCUGUGUAGUCAGCCAGUGCGGACUGCACAGGAUAUCCCGUGACAAAGCUUCACAUUACGUUGAUGUUCGGGUUACUUUAGAGUAUUACAAAUUAUAAUUGCAAGAGUAUGUAAUGUGCAUAUAAGCGGUUUUUAACUUGUUAAACAUAACAUUAAAGAGGGUGUAUAUUGUUUGGCACAUGUCGGUCCGUCGAUCGGUCUGUACGUCCACCUAAUCCUAUAACACAUGUAAUAUUAUGUUUUGUUAUUACAUAACAGCAUAACAAUUAGCAUACUUUUAUUUCAGAACCGGUCGCCUACAAAGAGAACGAAGUCGGCGUCACCGGAGCACCAGAACCCGGAGACCGGACAGCCUAAGGCUGAGCCAGUGAGUAACGCAUAUGAAGUAUUCAAUAUUGCAGUGAGGCGGUACCUCGACAUGCCAUCGACCUCUGGUACUUUAAUCCAGUACUCGGACGACAUUUAUGUCGUGCACCCUACGGUACCAGAGCCGCCGGUCGCGGAAGGACCCGAGCCACAACCCGGGACGACAUCACGGGAGUGUAUUGCAGACACAGGAUCGUGGUAUGCAUUGCCGACGGGGGCGCAGUGGACGGAGUGGGCGAAGGCAGAGGGAACUUUCAUUUCUGUUGAUUGUAAUUUUGUAAAUUAUUUCAAAUUUAUAGCUGUAUAGUGUACGGCCAUAAAUGUUCUUUACAUU